CAAGCGGCGGAGGAGAAGGAAGCACCGCGUCUGACUCCUGGACAAAGACCCUCCGUAUAUACCUCAAAAGUGACGACGGCACGCAGGCGUUUCUCCCUGUUAGCUCCAGGGAGAAACGGCGACACACUCAGCAACCAGGAGACAGCCGCCUAGCUAACAAGUUUCACCGCCUUCAGCCUUCCACACUGUAUUCACUGGAACAAGCUCCCAAUGGCUGACCGCUGUACAUCCGGCAUGCACUUUCAAAACUUGGUUCAGUCGCGCCUAUGGACCAGUAGCGGGACUCCUGGUAUACACACAUGGGCAAUACAUUUAAGCAAUGCAUUCCAUUCAUUGAUCAUCACUGGUAAGUUUUUGCAUAAUUUAUAUCAAGUAAGUACUUAAAUAAAUUGGGUCAUUCGGUCAACAUUUUUA